rnacentral:rRNA from 1 species
AAAUUGAAGAGUUUGAUCAUGGCUCAGAUUGAACGCUGGCGGCAGGCCUAACACAUGCAAGUCGAACGGUAACAGGAAGCAGCUUGCUGCUUCGCUGACGAGUGGCGGACGGGUGAGUAAUGUCUGGGAAACUGCCUGAUGGAGGGGGAUAACUACUGGAAACGGUUGCUAAUCCCGCAUAACGUCGCAAGACCAUAGAGAGUGACCUUCGGGCCUCUUGCCAUCAGAUGUGCCCAGGUGGGGAUUAUCUUGUUGGUGACGUAACGGCUCACCAAUGCCACUAUCCCUAACUGGUCUGAGAGGAUGACCAGCCACACUGGAA